rnacentral:lncRNA from 1 species
AAGACCUCCUUUUUAGGACAGGGUUUACAACCUCACACAGCAGGAUGCCGAUGACGACCCGGACGUGGUACAGGGUAUGUACACUAUCUGUGACCAUAUUGCUCAUGUUUUAUUUGACAUUGGUGCAUCGCAUUCAUUUGUUUCACAUGUUUUUGCAUCCAAACUUAAUGUAUCACCUGAUAAACUUGAUUCAAUGUUGUUUGUGUCUACUGCUAUGGGUGAAACACUAUUAGGGGAAGUUGUCUACAGGGCUUGUGCCGUGG